UCGCAGCCCCCUCAGCCCCCCCACCCCGCAGCCUCUCCGCCCGCUCCGCCGGGCGCUGCUCCAGGGCCUCCCUCCGGAUCCGGCCUCGGCCCACGCGCGGAAGGUGCUUCCCUGGGGAUCCCCAGCAUCAGCGCCUGCGCCCUGGGGGCACCUUGUCAGCCGCCCCCGACUUUGCAGCCCUCCUGGGACACUUGGAAGCAGGUGAACAAACUUGAGCAGAUACCACCAAGAGGAGCCGCCGAGCAGGAUUGAUGGAGAGACGACAGUUUGGUAAGGCUCCUCUGAGCCUAUAGCGGGGAGCUAUGGACUCAGCCCUGACUUCUCAACUAGGGGGAACAGCCCCAUUCCUGGACCCUUGAAAUUGGCCCCCAAGUGGAGGGAAGUUGACAAAGAAUGGCCUGAAGGAUGGCUGGCCUGGCCCAGGAAGGAGCCCCUACCUGGGGAGGGGGCAGGAUUUUGCUAGAUGCCUGUUGCAGAGAGAGGAUUUAGAAACAAAGGAAGAGAGAAAGAGGUCGAGGAAACAGCACAAAGGACUGGAAAAUUUGAGAAUGACAAAGAUAAAAGACUGGCGAGGGAAGGAGAGAUUUCCAAAACCCUCAGUGCUAGGAGGACGGAGGGCCUCCCGGAGAGUGGGGUGGGGGGAGAGGGGUGACCGUGAAGGCGGUUUGAUAAAGGACAAGAGCAAGAAGCAGAGCUCAUUUGUUUGGGGAGACGAGAAAGGACAGAAGGGAAGGAAAGAGAAUACAAAGGGAUGGAAGGGGAGCUAGGGAGUAAAGGAAGGGAGAGGCGAGAGGGAAGAAAGUAAAAGAGAAACAGAAGGGAGAGAGGGAAGGCGGAGAGGAGGGAGAGGAAGCGGGAAGGUGGGGCAGAAAGAAAGCAAAAGGGGAGAAAGGAGCAAUAAAGGACAGAAAGAGGAAAGAAAGGAGAGCAGGAAACCGGGCUAACAGAACAGGGGUCCCGACUGGAGGAGGGAGGGAGGAGGGGAAGGAGGCCCGCUGUGGCCUCGCUGGGGUCCCCAGGCUCCUGGGCGCCCCACUGGCCCACCCCAGGCUACCUGGGCCGAAGCCUCCCCACCGGCUGCCCCCCACCCCGGGGACGGAGGUGGAGCUUCACCACCGAGGCUUCUCCGGGAAGCACCUGCCUGACCUGGGGAAGGACUUGUUCUGUGGCCACACCUGCCUCAGGCCUGGCCCCGCGCGCCUCGAGGCCCAGCAGGUCCAGAUCCGGUUCCAAAACCAGGACAGGGAGCCGAGGCGGCGGCCUAGAGGCCUCAGCCUCCACGCCUGCCCCCCCAGGCGCCUCCAGCGACCUUGGGCCUCAGUGGAUCGUAGGUCAGGGGAGUCCUGUGUGCUGGGGGGCCCUCCGUAAUUUGGGUGGGCCUGCCCAUAUUUGUGCAGGUGAGAGAGGGGUGAGGAGAGGGCCUGGUUCCCCCACCCACAGGAAGGGCAUCUUCAUUUUCUUCGUUGGUGAGAAGAGAAGUCUCCGCGCCCCAGACAACUUGCUUCCAGGGCCGGGGGCUUCUCCACCCCACAGAGGGUUGGACUAAUCUGUAAAAGGCUUGGUGUGAGGUUUUGGGGUGCCGGAGGAGCCAGGGAAGCCGCGCAUUCUUGAAAGAGAACGAGGACAUUUCCGACCCGGGCAGGUGGAUCCUAGGGUAUGGCCCUGACCUCCGGUAAACACGAAGAGGGCGUUUGGCGAGGGGCUCUAGAACGGCCGGGGCCUGCGGUGCGCCUGCGGCCUGUUGGGCCCUGCUCACGCUCCGGGGACACUGCCCGGCUUGAUUCGGGGGGUGCUUUCUUUUUUUUUCUUUUUUCCAGAGGGUUGCUUAAAGCCAGUUGGGUGACUCCUUUGUUUCCCGAUAAUGGAAAGGGGAAAGUCACUGAGGUCAGGCCGACCUUCCAGGGCAGCACGGCCUUGGGGAUGGGCCGGAGGGCCCUCAGACAACCAGCUGGCUCCGGGGUCCCCGGGGAACCCUGCAGUUCCUCUCGGGGGGCCUUGGCUUCCAGCUUCUCCCCCCUCACCCCACCGCACCCCUCCCCUCCUGCCGCUGCUUCCCUCCCUUUAUCUUUCUCCCUCUACUCCCCUUGUUCCCUUCCUUCCUUCUUCCGUGCCCUCUGAGCUCUGCUUCCCGUAUCACGGAGCCCACGCCGGGCUCUCGCCCUGUCUUUGUACCCCAGGGGGCCCUGUCUUUGUACCCCAGGGCUUGGCUCCGAGACCUUCUGGCAGGCUAACACGAGGUGCCUCGGGUCUCGGGUGUGGGGAUGGGAAGUCGGGGGUCAAGACAGGGAGGAAGCUUCGCUACUCGGGUGCAGGAUGAGUCAGCUGGUUUCUCCAUCAGCCGUCACAUCCCCGGGGCGCACCCCGGAAAAUCUUUACCACCUCAUCCAUGUGCCCGACUGCCCGGGGCGGAGCUGCUGGUGCCCCCAAGACCAUUCUCUCCUGGGCUGAGUGAGGCCUACGGGGCUCCCCUUGCCUUGGCCGCUGGGGUGGGAGGUCAGGGAUGCAGGCCAGAGCCUCGUGCUAGGGGAGAAACAAAGCCUGUCUCCCCACGCCUGACCGCGCAGGGGCCCCCCUUCCCACCGACGGACAGGCUGGCCUGCUCCGGGCCCUUGGCUGUCUCCCCGGGAGCACCCCAUGAGCCAGGCCCACGGCCCUGUGCGUCCGCUCCGGUGAAGAAGGGAGACCUCGCGCUCCAGGCCCUGGUGAAAGGGAUGCAGACUGUGCUCCAAGGAGCUUCCUUGCCCCAAAUGGCCCCGCAGGGAAGGGGGGAACCUGCUGCCCUCCGCGGACCCGAGCGUCACAGCCGCCUUCCGGUGCCGACGCCGCAAGUCGCUCGUGCCACUGGGCUCUCCUUGCUGCCUCGGCCUCUGCUCACCUCCCUGUGCUGGGAUUUUCUUACUUGAUUUCAAAGUAAAAUGUCCCUCCCCUUCCCGGAGCCCAUCCCUGCGCGCCCAGCAGACCCUAAAGCCGCCGCUGGUAAGCGGCCGCAGCUUCCAGCCCUGCUCACAAGUGACUGUUGGGCACCGGUGGUCAGAGUUGAGACCAGAUUGCUUCAAUUGGGGUGAUACAAAGGCUCGUUGAGGUAGAGGAAUGGAUGGGAAAUGAGCAAUUUUCUCCGUCUCCAAGUCAGCAGUGCCAGCUGUUCAUCCUCUAGCAUCCAUUUCGUACCUACUAUGUGUAAAGCAUCACCUCUACCUCAGUUUGUCCUGUCAACGGCAAUUCCUGCCACCGUGAGGCCUCAGCGCGUGUGCACAGAUACACAAAUAAAUCAAUGGAAAAGAAA